CGAGUCCUCACCGAAACCCUAGCAGCCGCUCCGAUUCCCAUUCCCAUUCCCAUUCCCGAGAUCCAGAUCACUGCAGCACAGUGAGAAUGAGCGGGGUGAAGAAGGCGGUGGAGACGGUGGCUAAGGCUACGAAGUCGGCGAUCGACUGGGACGGGAUGGGGAAGCUCAUGGUCUCCGAUGAGGCCCGCAGGGAGUUCGCCAACCUCCGCCGCGCUUUCAACGAGGUCAACCAGCAGCUCCAGACCAAAUUCAG
rnacentral:misc_RNA from 1 species